rnacentral:rRNA from 1 species
CGAAGGGGGCGAGCGUUGUUCGGAUUUACUGGGCGUAAAGGGCGCGCAGGCGGCAGACCAAGUCAGGCGUGAAAGCCCCGGGCUUAACCUGGGAGGUGCGUCUGGGACUGGUUUGCUAGAGUUCGGGAGAGGAGAGUGGAAUUCCCAGCGUAGAGGUGAAAUUCGUAGAUAUUGGGAAGAACACCGGUGGCGAAGGCGGCUCUCUGGACCGAGACUGACGCUGAGGCGCGAAAGCGUGGGGAGCAAACAGGAUUAGAUACCUUGGUAGUCCACGCUGUAAACGAUGUGUGCUAGACGUUGGGGAGCCUAGCUCUUCGGUGUCGCAGCUAACGCGGUAAGCACACCGCCUGGGGAGUACGGCCGCAAGGUUA